AAUUUGCUUUAUUAUUUUUUUAAUAUUUUAUUUAUUUAUUCAGAGAGACACAGAGAGAGAGGCAGAGACACCGGCAGAGGGAGAAGCAGGCUUCCUGCGGGGAGCCCGAUGUAGGACUCGAUCCCAGGACCCUUGGAUCAUGAUUUGAGCCAAAGGCAGAUGCUCAACCACUGAGCCACCCAGUCUUGGUAAAAUGUCUUUCUUCUUGACAUGGAUCAAAGCUAUUUUUAUCACUGCCUUGGCAUUUCCUCAUUAUUCUGAAACUUCUUUUGAUCCUCCACCAGAAGACCGUAAAAUGCCAAACUGUGAUGUGUAUAUACAUCAGUUACAUUUUUGCACAAGAGAAAUGGACCCAAUCUGUGCAACCAAUGGCCAAACUUAUUCCAAUACAUGCGUUUUCUGCAGUGAACAAUUCGAGAGUGGUGGAGCAUUUAAGUUUGGUUAUUACGGUAGAUGCUGAUUUUGCCUGAGCUACACAAUCCUCUGGCUUUUAUUGUAAUCCAGUUUUGUGGUAGAUUCUACAACCAACCUCCUCAGUCAGAGUUUUAAAUUCCUAAAUAACCAAAGACUUCUGUGGUAUUCAAGAUGGGAUACAAGAUGUUGAAGAAUUUUCCUAAGACCCUACGACUGAAAGAUUUUUCUUCUCUAUGUCUAAUUAUUCAAAAACAUUUGAAAACUCUUAAUUAUGUGUUUCUAAAUAUAAAACCUAGUGCAAUUUAAAAUCAUAAUAUUUCAAUCAAUAUAAUGUUCAAUAAUAUUAUCCUCUUAAAAUUCUUUCUUUGGUUGGUUGGGUAGGUGGGUUAAAAGAUAUGAAUGCUUUUGGUAACUAUAAUUUAAAAAUAUUUUCAAAGAUGAACAUAUAAUACAUUACUUGUUCAUUUAUUAAAAAUACAGAUACUUGGGCUCCCCUUUAUCUUAAAGAAUCAAAAUCUCUAGGAGAGAGAUAUGGGAACUUUAAUUCUAAUAUGUACUCCAUUGAUUUUAUGAUUAUCAAUGUCAGGCGAUAUGGACUUAAGUUCUGAAACAUAGGUCUAUCAUUGAAAGACUUGGAGAGUCUGUUAAAAGGUAUUGUAAGCUUUCUGAGGUUUGGGAGAAAAAUUGUAUUAUUUUCUUUCUGUCUCAUAAACCAGUCAAGAGAUAGGUUGAUGAUCCUGGGGUUCCAGGCAACUCAGUGAUGUAGUUUAAUCCAUCUAUAGUCAAGUCCGAUACUUCUCCAUUUCUUUCAUCUCUCAGCUAACAAGAAACACAUUUAUUUAGGUGGCCAUAUGCUCAUUUAAAGCUUGAUUUUAAUGGAAGAAAUGUAUAUUGAUUACUAGAAUACAAGUAUCAAUCUGCUACACUAUCAGGCCUGCUCUCCUUUUCACUAAACAUUUCCACCUUUAAAGGAAUGAUCUAUGUGGGAGUUAUAUAUUCAUUUACAUUUUUAGUAUUGAUUCUUAAUGAAAGUAUCCAUUAGAAUGCAGACAUGCAGAAUUAGAAUGCACAGUAUAUAAAUGCAUUCAGCCACUUUCACAACCUUUUUAAUUAUAGAGGACAUGUAUAAAAAUAUUCAGUGAAUGCUGGCAAUUUUAUAAAUGAAUUUUUUCCUUUUAUUUAACAUACUAUUUUUUUUUAAAAAUCAUAACUAUAUGUUAAGCCUUGUAUCAAUGGGAAGAAAAAGUUGGUAAAGAAAGCAGAUACUACUGCUGUCUUCCGUGAACUUUGGGUAUACUGGUGAAAGUUAGUUUCCAUCAACAAUGGGAAUUCCACUUUCCCACAUGACUAUUUUCUACACAAGCUUUGUGAGUCAGCUUUUACAUCCCCCACAUCACGUAAUUUAAUUCUUAAGGAAAUCUUGUUAGAUGGGCAUCAGUUCUGCAUUUUACCCCUAAUGAAAGUGAGGCACAGAAAAUGUAGCAACAUUUAAAACUGACACUUGAUAAGGAAAAAUAUAGUGUUUUCUUGCCUUGGGAUAAAAUUCACAAAACUUAAAGUUUGCCAUUUUGAAGAAUAAGUUUUUUAGUAUACAUUCAUUGACAGUGUUGUACAAUCAUCAGUAUAAUUCUAACAUAUUUCCAUCAUUUAUCCCCCCUUCCAAGAAACAAAGAACAACCACACACUUCCCAAUUUCCUGUAUAUCAAUUCCUGAGAACCAUGAAACUAUUUCUUAUCUCUAUGAAUUUGCCUAUUUGGAUAUUCCAUAUACAUGGAAUCCUGUAGUAUGUGUAUGAUUUUCAUAUGGAAGUGAAUCUACUCAUCUAUUUAUUGUGUGUGGUCUUUCUUUGAGUGAUUUCCUGCACUUAGCACAGUGUUUACAAAGUUUAACCACAUUGUAGUAUGGAUUAGUACUUCUUUCCUUUUUAUGACUGAGUAAUAUUCCACUUGUGGGUGUAUCACAUUUUAUUUAUCCAUUGUCAAUUCACAGACAUUUGGAUUAUAUCUACUUAUUGUAUUUAAUGAAUAAUAUAGCUCUUGAAGUGUGUUGGAGUUGAAUUAUUCAUCCUCAUAAAACAAGUAAAAAAUAAAUCACUAAAUGAUCAAUUUAAUGUUAAAAAAUAAUGACUUCCAUAUAGUCACAUAGUAGAAUGUUACAUAGAGAUGAAAAUAAAUGAAUUAUAGCUCUGAUAUCAAUAUAUAUAAAGAUCACAAAGGAGUCUAAAAAGCAAGCCAUAUAAGAAUAUAUAUAGUAUUGUUUUCUUUGUAAAAAUUACUAUGAUACCCUAAACUAUGCAUAUAUAUGAAUACAUGUGUAAAUUUGAAAUGUAUAAAUAUUUACAUUUUGUGAAUAUAUUUUUUGAUAUGCAGUGAAAUUACAGAGGAACGCAGGAAAUAAUGAACAGAAAAUUCAGUUUGGUGAUUUCCUCUGAUUAUAACAGCUGAAUUAUUUGAAAUGACUCUAAUAUCAGGAGCCAUGGCAAAACUUGCAAAUACAGGGUUCAUCAGACGAAAUUAUCUCCAAGGCUCCUGCUGAGAAAAGAUGCAGUGUGAAAUAUUUGUGAGGCAUCUCUCAUGACCUGCUUUACAACCUCAAGGGAGGACACGAAAUGCCUGUGUUUUGUCUGCCCUAGGCCAUCUAUCUUACCGCAUAAAACUCCUCACUCAUGUAUCAAUAAAAGAUUUAGCUUGUUGAAUAUG